UCCCCGGUGGUCCAGUGGUGAAGACUCUGUGCUUCUACUGUAGACAGUGCGGGUACAACUCCCGCUUGUGGAA
rnacentral:tRNA from 1 species